AUGAUAUUUGGAGGACCUGAAAGCACACUGCUGAAACACUUGGGGAUAUACGUGAAUCUCGAAGAAAAUGAAGGCGUGCAACUUAAAACGAAAAUACUUGUCUCGGUUGACUAUAUCCAUCAGCGAUUCUUCAACAAAUGGGACUACAUUCGAGUGCCAAACCAGGCUUGGGGCGAAGAAAAAUCUACCCACCAAGAAAAUAUCUCCGAGGUCGAUCGUGUGAAGAAAUGUGUCGACUUAUUUUUCACUUUCUGCGAGCAUCUUCGUCAAAACACAUUGGGAACUCUGAAAGGUACCUCGCUGGACAUUGCUCAUAAAGUGUCUCCUCCCAUGCUAACUCCUCAAAUGCUGGAUUCUGUCUUGGAUUCAUCGGUCUUACCUGACAUUGCGGACCUCACACAGUCUUAUCAACAAAUCCCUCAAACAUUGCUCUGGAGAGACAAUAUGCAGCCUUUGACGAGUGAGUUGGUGCCUGAGUUCAUUUUAAGAGGUGACAUCUGCAACGCAUCAUGA
rnacentral:lncRNA from 1 species